AUGAGGAACGGCGAGGAGCUGGAAGGCUUCGAUGGCGAAGCGUCCAGCACCUCCAUGAUCUCCGGGGCCAGCAGCCCCUACCAGCCCACCACCGAGCCCGUUGGCCAGCGCCACGGGCUGGGCGGCCUCCGCUGCGACCUGGACUAUCUGCGGGGCGCUCUCGGCAAGAUCAAGAUCACCGAAGUGGUUUUGGCACUGAUUGCAUUCAUCUGCAUAGAGACCAUCAUGGAAUGCUCCCCUUGCGAAGGCCUUUAUUUCUUUGAGUUUGUGAGCUGUAGUGCAUUUGUAGUUACUGGAGCUUUAUUGCUUAUGUUCAGUCUAAAUCUUCACACAAGAAUACCACAGAUCAACUGGAAUCUUACAGAUCUUGUCAACACUGGACUCAGCACUUUCUUCUUUUUCAUUGCAUCUGUAGUACUUGCUGCUUUGAACCAUAAAACUGGAGCAGAAAUUGCUGCUGUGAUAUUUGGUUUCUUGGCGAUGAUAGUGUAUGCUGUGAAUAUGUAUUUAGCUGUUAAAAAAUGGCGAAUGAACAGCAGACAGCAGAACAGCCGGCAGACAAGUGAUUACAUUCGUGCUCGGACAGAAUCAAGAGAAGUAGAUCACCACCCUGAGAUUCAGCGUCUGGAUGCGUGAAAACUACAGCUGAGUGGGACUGGAAAGAGGGGAUAGAAAACAGCAACUUUUUAUUUUGUUUCAUCAAGUGAAGUUUAUAUAGUUUGAAGUUUUCAUUUUUUAGGAAGAGUCUUGGCAGAGAUAAGCUGACCAUUUAUAUGUACAGAGAGAGAUGUUGAUCUACAUUUAUUCAGAAGCUAUUGGCUUGGAGGCUAUAAUUAUUGGCCAUUCAAAAAUGGGAACACAACACCGCGCCACCCCCAGUGGAGUCAAAUAUAAACCUGAUGUACAUGAGUAAGAUCUUCAUGGAAGUCAGUGAAGUUGUAUACACUCACACCAGAUCUGAGUUUGUUCCACAGACUUUUAGCAUUGUAUUCAUGUGUAACUAUUCCCAGUAUGGGUUGAUGUUUACACCAAUACAUAGUUGGAAUCAUACGUAUAAGACACUGUCAAGUCAAUUUUAAGUGCAAAAAUGUAGAUUUUUUUUUUCCAAACAGAGUUUUACCAAUCAUAAAGUUAAUAGAAAUGUUUACAUGAAACUUUUUUUUUUGUAAUUCCAAAAGAAACAGGGAAAGCUCUAGAUUUGAACAUUCUGCACUGUUCACUUCUCGGGCAAUGCAAGCCUUGUGCUGAUGCAUGAAAACCAGAAAGUGAAAUUGUUUCUCUCUUGUCAUUCUCCAUCUUGUUUGCUAUUUGCAAUCAUUCCACAUAAACUAGAUCUUUUUAAAAUUCUGUUUUAAUAAUUAAAUUAAACUAAUUGUUUAUUUUUAACUUGAUAGAGGUCUUUUUAUCAUAUUAUCAUAUUUAAUGUUAUAUUUUACAUUUCACUGAAAGUUGUAACUGAAGGGAGUGCUGAGUUUAGAGUCUAAUAGUUGAAGUUCUAAUGAUCCUCUAGAGUGGUUAAGAACAUAGCCAUUUUAUUAAUUAAUUCCAGUGAAAGCUAGCUUUAAUGGGGUGUCACAUGAAAACUGACCUAUAACUCAGUAUGGUUAGCAGUGCUGAAUGGAGGUGUGCACUGUGCCCAUUGGAUAAGCUGUUUUUUCAGCAUGCUGUGCCAAGUAUUGGAGGGAUGAUAUAAUUGGGGUAGUUCAUAGAUGCUGCAGUUUAAAAAAAAAAAAAAAAAAAGGAAUAUCCAUAAAUAAACCUUAAAAACUAAACGCAGUGAUCUUUAGGGUAGACUUGCAGCUUAGUUUAAAGGAAUAUUUUGAAAUGUUAUCGAAACCCUCUAAAAAGGGAUUCAGAGGAUGCAUUAUCCAGCACUAUAUUAAUAUUUCAUGGGUGAGGUCUUCCGCUGAAGUCAAGUAAUAGAGGAAUCCAGUGUAUGGUAUAAUAACGAAGACUUUUCAGCAUAGCAAAAGUGUAUCCUGUUAGCUGAUCAGUAGAAGGAAUGAAAUGGUAUAUUAUACAAUCCCCUUGUGCUUUUCUAGUUAAUUUCUGACCCUAAGCAAUGUUCUGGUUACUUAGAGAUCUAGACAGAGAUCCAUUUACAAUUUUAUGUACUUUCUUGGUAUCUUUUAACGUUAUGUGCAUUUUACUGCAUGGGAAAGGAGGGGAAACUGCAUAGUGCUUUGUCAGAGUUAGAUCACAGAAGGUUUUUGUUAAAGUGCGUGCUUGGUCUGGCUAGUUAAUGUGAAUUACCUUUUUUUUCAGUAAUCUGAUACAAUGGUCUCUAAUAUAGUAUAUUGUACAAUCAUAUAGCAAAUGUAUGAUAUGAUUACACAUGAGAUACAAUGGCUUUGAUGUGCUGAGUACAAAAUAUCAUUAUUUAUUAUUUACACCAUUAUUACAUGGUCAGCACAAUUACAGAAGAUAUAAAGUUUUUGAGAUGAGCUAGGACAGAAUAAAAAUUUUAAAAACCCACUUCUGAACACAAAUCUUAAAUAACUGUAAACAAACCGAAAAAUAGAUGUAACUUCCGUAUAGCUUUUGGGACCAAAGAUGAUCUUAGUGUUGAUAGAUACACUUUUUUUAAAAACUAAGUUAGAGAUUUGUUAGUCUAGGAAAACGUUAUUUAUGACUGUCAUGUAAGUUGAAGGGGAUGGAUUCAUUUGGCUUAUGAUAGAAAAUUAAAAUUCAUAUACUGAUAUCCUACAGUAUGUACACAGUGAUUUGGUUUUUCCAGACUGGAUUUUGUACUGUGGCAUAAUGAA